rnacentral:lncRNA from 1 species
AAUUAUAUAAAAACUCACCCGAAAAUCCGGCAGAUGCACCGAGAGAAAGAGAGGUAAAAGAAAUAACAAAAGGGAAAGGGGUAAGACUACAACACGAGAAUUAUCCAACCACCAACAACGACACAAGACUUCAACACACCAAACAGCAACGAAGAGGAACUGAACAAAAGUAAAGACACAGAAACGAUGCAAGCACUUG